rnacentral:rRNA from 1 species
UACGGAGGGUGCAAGCGUUAUCCGGAUUUACUGGGUUUAAAGGGUGCGUAGGCGGCUAUGUAAGUCAGGAGUGAAAGUUUGCGGCUCAACCGUAAAAUUGCUUUUGAUACUGCAUGGCUGGAAUCAGGAUGAGGUCAGCGGAAUGUGGCAUGUAGCGGUGAAAUGCAUAGAUAUGCCAUAGAACACCAAUUGCGAAGGCAGCUGGCUAGACCUGUAUUGACGCUGAGGCACGAAAGCGUGGGGAGCGAACAGG